UGGGGAAUAUUGCACAAUGGGCGCAAGCCUGAUGCAGCCAUGCCGCGUGUGUGAAGAAGGCCUUCGGGUUGUAAAGCACUUUCAGCGAGGAGGAAGGUGGUGAACUUAAUACGUUCAUCAAUUGACGUUACUCGCAGAAGAAGCACCGGCUAACUCCGUGCCAGCAGCCGCGGUAAUACGGAGGGUGCAAGCGUUAAUCGGAAUUACUGGGCGUAAAGCGCACGCAGGCGGUUUGUUAAGUCAGAUGUGAAAUCCUCGGGCUCAACCUGGGAACUGCAUUUGAAACUGGCAAGCUAGAGUCUCGUAGAGGGGGGUAGAAUUCCAGGUGUAGGCGGUGAAAUGCGUAGAGAUCUGGAGGAAUACCGGUGGCGAAGGCGGCCCCCUGGACGAAGACUGACGCUCAGGUGCGAAAGCGUGGGGAGCAAACAGGAUUAGAGUACCCUGGUAGUCCACGCUGUAAACGAUGUCGAUUUGGAGGUUGUGCCCUUGAGGCGUGGCUUCCGGAGCUAACGCGUUAAAUCGACCGCCUGGGGAGUACGGCCGCAAGGUUAAAACUCAAAGGAAUUGACGGGGUCAU
rnacentral:rRNA from 1 species